rfam:Hordeum vulgare subsp. vulgare, WGS project CAJW01000000 data, contig: morex_contig_2648564
CCGCUCGGGGAUGCUGAGAUCAUCUCCCACGUCAUAGCCGGCCUCGACAUCGACUACAACCCCGUGAUCUCGGCCUUGGCCGCGCUGGUCGAACCGGUUACGUUCGAGGAACUCUACAUCCAACUUCUGAGCUUCGACG